GGAAGCGUGGCAGAGCGGACGAAUGCACCGGUUUUGAAAACCGGCAGGGCGAAUAACCCUCGGAGGUUCGAAUCCUCCCGCUUCCG
rnacentral:tRNA from 1 species